rnacentral:rRNA from 1 species
GACGAACGCUGGCGGCGUGCCUAAUACAUGCAAGUAGGACGCAGUUGCGAACGGGUGAGUAACGCGUAGGUAACUGCCUCUUAGAGAGGGCUAACUAUUGGAAACGAUAGCUAAUACCGCAUACUAGUAGAUGGACCUGCGUUGUAUUAGCUAGUAGGUAGGGUAAUGGCCUACCUAGGCAACGAUACAUAGCCGCCCUGAGAGGGGGAGCUGCCAAACUGGGACUGGUAAACGGCCCAGACUUCGACGGGAGGCAUCAGUAGGGAAUCUUCGGCAAUUGGGGGAAACCUGACCGAGCAACGCCGCGUGAGUGAAGAAGGUUUUCGGAUCGUAAAGCUCUGUUGUUAAGGAAGCGGUACUUAACCAGAAAGGGACGGCUAACUACGUGCCAGCAGCCGCGGUAAUAC